UGAGGAAUAUUGGGCAAUGCCCGCAAGGGUGACCCAGCAACGCCGCGUGGAGGAUGAAUGUCGUAAGAUUGUAAACUCCUGUUAGAGGGGAAGAAUAGUACCGGUUGGACCGGUAUAUGACUGUACCCUCAGAGAAAGCCCCGGCUAACUACGUGCCAGCAGCCGCGGUAAUACGUAGGGGGCAAGCGUUGUCCGGAUUUACUGGGCGUAAAGCGCGUGCAGGCGGUCUCUUAAGUCUGGUGUGAAAGCCCGGGGCUCACCCCCGGAAGGGCACUGGAGACUGGGAGGCUAGAGUACCGGAGAGGAAGGUGGAAUUCCUGGUGUAGCGGUGAAAUGCGUAGAUAUCAGGAGGAACACCGGUGGCGAAGGCGGCCUUCUGGACGGCUACUGACGCUGAGACGCGAAAGCGUGGGGAGCAAACA
rnacentral:rRNA from 1 species